GACGAACGCUGGCGGCGUGCUUAACACAUGCAAGUCGAACGGAAAGGCCCUGCUUUUGUGGGGUGCUCGAGUGGCGAACGGGUGAGUAACACGUGAGUAACCUGCCCUUGACUUUGGGAUAACUUCAGGAAACUGGGGCUAAUACCGGAUAGGAGCUCCUGCUGCAGGGUGGGGGUUGGAAAGUUUCGGCGGUUGGGGAUGGACUCGCGGCUUAUCAGCUUGUUGGUGGGGUAGUGGCUUACCAAGGCUUUGACGGGUAGCCGGCCUGAGAGGGUGACCGGCCACAGUGGGACUGAGAUACGGCCCAGACUCCUACGGGAGGCAGCAGGGGGGAAUAUUGCACAAUGGGCGGAAGCCUGAUGCAGCCACGCCGCGUGCGGGAUGACGGCCUUCGGGUUGUAAACCGCUUUCGCCUGUGACGAAGCGUGAGUGACGGUAAUGGGUAAAGAAGCACCGGCUAACUACGUG
rnacentral:rRNA from 1 species